CAGAAGCAAAAAAUACCCAAGGCAAACCAGAGAAGCGUCCAAUCAAGUGAACAGCAAGUAAACUACAUGGAACUGAAGUUUCCAAGGCCCUCUCACCUUCAGCACAGAAAACGGUUGUUUAGGAAAAAAAGAAAAGUGUUACACCACCGACCUACAGCAUGGCAACUGGUGGCUGGGAGUCUAGGGAUCUUGUGUGUGGUCUGGAUGACAACAGUGGGUGCCUCGCUUGCAAACUUAUUUUCUAGCAGAGAAGAACAAAACUGAAAAAGAUCACCUGUUCCCACACUAUCUUCUAAAAAUGG